rnacentral:lncRNA from 1 species
AGCAUGAACACAACCUUGCCUCGGAAAGCAUACGUGGGAAAAUAUGCCAGGGGGGUAGCUCCCCAAUUCUCCUGCCCAAAGAUGUUUGCCAUAGACUACGCUGACUGGCCCAUUCAGGAGCCCCUCGGGUUUCCGCUGGACCUACCCUUCUGAUUUGAGAUCAUCCACGUGUUUUCCCACCUCCGGAGGCUUUUAUUUUCUGCUUCCUCCCUUCUUAGUACAGUGCCAAUCACUGCUCUCCCCCGCCGCCCCCCUCCCCAAAGGCUCUCUGAGGCUGCUCCCUUUGUGAUUGGCAUCUCAUUAAUGAAGAAGGGCUGGUGUCUCUCAUUACAGUUAGAGUGAGUGAGAGGACCUCAGAACUAAUUUACUUGCUCUCACUAGGGAAGACACUUGCCUCCAUCAAGAACUUCACUUUCCUGCUGCCUGUGGCAAUAAAAGAACCCGUUUUGUUUUAACAUUAAUAAGGUGAGAGAAUAGAGAAUUUCCAAAAGAAAUUAAGAAAGGCAAGAGGGUAGGUGUUGGCCCAUGGAAGUUUCCCUAAAGCAGGUCUGAUGGCGGAGUUCAGUGAGAGGCCUUUGAUGCGGCAACAUCUGGACCACAUGAAAAAAAGCCUAGCAGGCAAAUGAGAGACUGGCCAAGCAGAGAGGCUGGGGUGGGAAGCGGGGGGUAUGGGUUCUAAUCCUAGGUCCUAAGUCCCUGAGUGACCUUGGGCGAGUCUUUGAUUUUUCUCUGGUCCUCAAUUUUACUAUCAGUAAAAUAAAGGAAUGGAAUAAAAUGGUCUUUUAGGGUUCUCUCAGCUCGAAAAUUUUAAUAUUCUGUAAAUGGGGCUCUGGACUAUUUAAAACUUUUUUCAUGUUUGGAGUGAGUUUUUUUUUUAUCUCUGGCAACAAAUUAGAAAUUCCUCCAGAAUUAAAGAGCAUGGAAUGGAAAUCAUUUGGCUUCUCCAGCUGAAAAGGUCAACUAGAUUCAGAAAUGUACUCCAAGGCUGCACUGUCUGCAUGGAAACCUAAUUAGAGAUGAUACUUCAUUGGCUAAAAGGGAUCAAACUUAUCUGAGCUUUCAUCUGGAUAUGUAUUUUUAAAAAAUUACUCUGAGUUACUAAUUCAUUUAUCUUUCUACUUACAGGAAAUUCCACUCAUUGAUAAAGCUCGGCUUCGACGCCCCUGCUCACAAUGAAAUACCUUCCUUGCCAACCACAUUGCUUUAUGAUCGUGCCCCUUUACCACAUUGUACUUGAAAUGCCUUGUCAUUUAAGAAACCAUAAAAACGACGUCUUUAAAAAUGGGUUCAUCAUUUAGCUGGAGAUGGCUUCUGUGCCUGGAACCAGAAGCCUGUCCUCUCGGUGGUAUGCCUCCACAAAAGGAAGCGAGCUACCACAAAGGACAGCAUCAUGUGUUGCCUUCAUUGCUAUUGAAUCGGGAAGUUGGUGCCCAGUUUCAACAUGGAUGACAAAGUAGUGGGAAUCUGAAAUGCCUACAGUAGAAGCUAUUUUUGAACGAGAAGGACUUUGGCUCAAAUCAACAGUUUGGUUUCUUACUGUUUACAUCUAUGAGUCAAAGUAGCUUGCUCCCAGGAUCCCCCACCAAACCGAAUGAAAAUAAAUUCAAUGUGUGCCCACUGAGCCUGGCCUGGGAGUUCUUGAGAUCAACUCAGAAUCAUGGUCUUUCUGUCACUCCCAAAACAAUCCUACCUAAUUCUACUUGUUCCUAAGUAUUGCCUUAGGAUACUGACAGUCUUUUCUCCUACUUACAGCUUUUGAAUGAAAUUAAAGCUAAUCCUCUCUGGCUUGGUCGGGUCUUGUGUAAGAUUCCCACACCCCACAAUCAAGGCCUUGCAAUGUGGUGUUAGAAGAGAUAGCCAAGUUACCACACCUGUAUCACGAUUCGGAUAAGGAUAGUAUUUUUUGCCUUCCAUGAGACAGCUUUGAAA